AACGAACGCUGGCGGCAUGCCUAACACAUGCAAGUCGAACGAGACCUUCGGGUCUAGUGGCGCACGGGUGCGUAACGCGUGGGAACCUGCCCUUAGGUUCGGAAUAACUCCCCGAAAGGGGUGCUAAUACCGGAUAAUGUCUUCGGACCAAAGAUUUAUCGCCUUUGGAUGGGCCCGCGUUGGAUUAGCUAGUUGGUAGGGUAAAAGCCUACCAAGGCGACGAUCCAUAGCUGGUCUGAGAGGAUGAUCAGCCACACUGGGGCUGAGACACGGCCCAGACUCCGACGGGAAGCAGCAGUAGGGAAUAUUGGACGAUGGGCGAAAGCCUGAUCCAGCAAUGCCGCGUGAGUGAUGAAGGCCUUAGGGUUGUAAAGCUCUUUUACCCGGGAUGAUAAUGACAGUACCGGGAGAAUAAGCGCCGGCUAACUCCGUG
rnacentral:rRNA from 1 species